rnacentral:rRNA from 1 species
CACGUAGGAGACAAGCGUUAUCCGGAUUUACUGGGUGUAAAGCGCGUGCAGGCGGUCUAGUAAGUUGGAUGUGAAAGCUCCUGGCUUAACUGGGAGAGGUCGUUCAAGACUGCUGGACUAGAGGGUGACAGAGGGGAGUGGAAUUCCGAGUGUAGCGGUAAAAUGCAUAGAUAUUCGGAAGAACACCAGUGGCGAAGGCGGCUCUCUGGGUCACAACUGACGCUCAGACGCGAAAGCUAGGGUAGCAAACGGG